GACGAACGCUGGCGGCGUGCUUAACACAUGCAAGUCGAACGAAGUGGCGAACGGGUGAGUAACGCGUAAUCAACCUGCCCUUCCGAGGGGGACAACAGUUGGAAACGACUGCUCAUACCGCAUACUGAAGGCGGGGAUUGCGUCUGAUUAGCUAGGUGGAGGGGUAACGGCACACCAAGGCGAUGAUCAGUAGCAGGUAUGAGAGGAGGAACGGCAAAAUUGGGACUGGGACACGGCCCAGACUCAUACGGGAGGCAGCAGUGGGGAAUCUUCCGCAAUGGACGAAAGUCUGACGGAGCAACGCCGCGUGAGGGAUGACGGCCUGCGGGUUGUAAAGCUCUGUUAAUCGGGACGCGGUACCGGAAUAGAAAGCCACGGCUAACUACGUGCCAGCCGCCGCGGUAAUUC
rnacentral:rRNA from 1 species